GAUGAACGCUGGCGGCGUGCCUAAUACAUGCAAGUCGAGCGAACAGAUGAGGAGCUUGCUCCUCUGACGUUAGCGGCGGACGGGUGAGUAACACGUGGAUAACCUACCUAUAAGACUGGGAUAACUUCGGGAAACCGGAGCUAAUACCGGAUAAUAUAUUGAACCGCAUGGUUCAAUAGUGAAAGACGGUUUUGCUGUCACUUAUAGAUGGAUCCGCGCCGCAUUAGCUAGUUGGUAAGGUAACGGCUUACCAAGGCAACGAUGCGUAGCCGACCUGAGAGUGUGAUCGGCCACACUGGAACUGAGACACGGUCCAGACGCCUACGGGAGGCAGCAGUAGGGAAUCUUCCGCAAUGGGCGAAAGCCUGACGGAGCAACGCCGCGUGAGUGAUGAAGGUCGUCGGAUCGUAAAACUCUGUUAUUAGGGAAGAACAAAUGUGUAAGUAACUAUGCACGUCUUGACGGUACCUAAUCAGAAAGCCACGGCUAACUACGUG
rnacentral:rRNA from 1 species